UUAGCUCAUAUUGGUAUGGAAUGGGAUCGUUUGCGUACGUUUGCCGCUAGGGGCGCUGUUCCAACUGCAUACAAAGUUAAGUUA
rfam:Bombyx mori DNA, contig: Bm_scaf21_contig15034, strain: p50T/Dazao, build 2, whole genome shotgun sequence.